GUUUCCGUAGCUCAGCCGGAACGAGAGCGCCUGGUUGCGGACCAGGAGGUCGGGGGUUCGAGUCCCUCCGGGAACG
rnacentral:tRNA from 1 species